rnacentral:rRNA from 1 species
UACGUAGGGUGCAAGCGUUAAUCGGAAUUACUGGGCGUAAAGCGUGCGCAGGCGGUUUUGUAAGUCUGACGUGAAAUCCCCGGGCUUAACCUGGGAACUGCAUUGGUGACUGCAUUGCUCGAGUAUGGCAGAGGGGGGUGGAAUUCCACGUGUAGCAGUGAAAUGCGUAGAGAUGUGGAGGAACACCGAUGGCGAAGGCAGCCCCCUGGGCCAAUACUGACGCUCAUGCACGAAAGCGUGGGGAGCAAACAGG